ensembl:lncRNA
GAGACGGGUAGGUUUAGGGGUGGAAAUGUGGUCCAGCGGGUGGAGACGGGUAGGUUUAGCGGUGGAGAUGGAAUCCAGGGGCUGGAGAUGGGUAGGUUUAGGGGUGGAGAUGUGAUCCAGGGGGUGGAGACGGGUAGGUUUAGGGAUAUGUAAAGUGGGAGGAGUUGGAUCUCGAGUUGGAGUUGGUGCACCACAGUAAUACCGGUGUACUUACAUGGUAACUCCUCAGGAACUGUCCACUUAAUAUAAAGUGUAACAUUCUGGACACCAACCACAAUUUAUAUGUAAAGCCUAACUUACUGGCUGCUGCUGUGUAACAUCAGAGUAAUUACAUGAUAGAUCUAAUAUAAAGUGUAACACUUUCUUUACCAAAAAGUCCGGUUAGUCCUGUUACACGUUUGUACUU